rnacentral:lncRNA from 1 species
AAGAAGGAAGGAAGUCUCAGUGGAGCUUCCAAGGACCAUGGAGGAAUUUGUUCACUCUUCAUCUUGCUGUCCUGCUGCCCGGAGUCUGCUUUUAUUCAUAGCCCUCCAAAAGGACCCAUAAUUGCUGCUAGUUCUCCCCUCUCAAGCUCCAAAGCCUUGACUUUUAUUGACGUACAGCACAUGGAGGGAUGCAAACCUGGCACAACUGUGUGAUAUCAGGAAUGUUUGAUGGACAGGUCAAGCUAUUCAGGAGGGGGAGGGGAUGAACUUCCUUGACACCACAAAGCAAUGACAUUUACCCA